AAGUACAACGGGGCUAAGCUUAAUACCGAAUUUUUGGAUUUAAGAUUUAAUAAUUUUAAGUGGUAGACAAAUGUUGUAUAAGGGUUGAAGUUUGAACGAGAGUAUAAAUGGACUUUAUACAAGUAAGAAUUCCGGCGUAAGUAACGAAUGAAAGUGAGAAUCUUUCUAGCCGAUUGAUCAAGGUUUCCGGGGCUAGGUUCGUCCUCCUCGGGUUAGUCGAUCCUAAGGUGAGGCCGAAAGGCGUAGCCGAUGGACAACAGGUUAAUAUUCCUGUACUACCUUAGAUUGUCAACGGGCGGACAAAAGAGGUUAAAGUAAAAGGAUUAUUGGAUUUCCUUCUAAGUUUCGAAGCAAGUCGAGGCUGAAAAUCACCUCGACAUUAAUUGCAAGAAACGAAUGCUAUUUUUGGUAGGGAUAUCAGGAAGAAUUACUACCAAUCUCUUUUCGCGAAAAAACUCUAGACUUAAAUCUAAGGUAUUCGUACCGAAACCGAACACACGUGAUCAAGGAGAAUAUCCUAAGGCUAGCGAGCUAACUACAGUUAAGGAACUCUGCAAAUUAACUCUGUAACUUAGGGAGAAAGAGUGCCCCAGAAGGAAUCUGGGGCCACAGUAAAGAACGAGGGCGAACUGUUUAACAAAAACACAGCUAUAUGCAAAAUUCGAAUAUGAAGUAUAUGUGGCGACACCUGCCCGGUGCCAGAAGGUCAAAGA
rnacentral:rRNA from 1 species